rnacentral:rRNA from 1 species
GCAAGUCGAACGAGCGAGAGAGAGCUUGCUUUCUCGAGCGAGUGGCGAACGGGUGAGUAACGCGUGAGGAACCUGCCUCAAAGAGGGGGACAACAGUUGGAAACGACUGCUAAUACCGCAUAAGCCCACGACCCGGCAUCGGGUUGAGGGAAAAGGAGCAAUCCGCUUUGAGAUGGCCUCGCGUCCGAUUAGCUAGUUGGUGAGGUAACGGCCCACCAAGGCGACGAUCGGUAGCCGGACUGAGAGGUUGAACGGCCACAUUGGGACUGAGACACGGCCCAGACUCCUACGGGAGGCAGCAGUGGGGAAUAUUGCACAAUGGGGGGAAACCCUGAUGCAGCGACGCCGCGUGGAGGAAGAAGGUCUUCGGAUUGUAAACUCCUGUUGUUGAGGAAGAUAAUGACGGUACUCAACAAGGAAGUGACGGCUAACUACGUGCCAGCAGCCGCGGUAAAACGUAGGUCACAAGCGUUGUCCGGAAUUACUGGGUGUAAAGGGAGCGCAGGCGGGAAGACAAGUUGGAAGUGAAAUCCAUGGGCUCAACCCAUGAACUGCUUUCAAAACUGUUUUUCUUGAGUAGUGCAGAGGUAGGCGGAAUUCCCGGUGUAGCGGUGGAAUGCGUAGAUAUCGGGAGGAACACCAGUGGCGAAGGCGGCCUACUGGGCACCAACUGACGCUGAGGCUCGAAAGUGUGGGUAGCAAACAGGAUUAGAUACCCUGGUAGUCCACACCGUAAACGAUGAUUACUAGGUGUUGGAGGAUUGACCCCUUCAGUGCCGCAGUUAACACAAUAAGUAAUCCACCU